rnacentral:misc_RNA from 1 species
UCCGGUUUGUCACCGGCAGUCCCAUUAGAGUGCUCAACUAAAUGUGGCAACUAAUGGCGAGGGUUGCGCUCGUUGCGGGACUUAACCCAACAUCUCACGACACGAGCUGACGACAGCCAUGCAGCACCUGUCUCUGCGUCCCUUGCGGGAAAACCCCUGUUAGAGGGCGGUCGCAGGAUGUCAAACCCUGGUAAGGUUCUGCGCGUUGCUUCGAAUUGAACCACAUGCUCCACCGCUUGUGUGAGCCCCCGUCAAUUCCUUUGAGUUUUAAUCUUGCGACCGUACUCCCCAGGCGGUCAACUUCACGCGUUAGCUGCGGUACUGAGAACUUGCGCUCCCAACACCUAGUUGACAUCGUUUAGGGCGUGGACUAC